UAUCAUCUCCUGCCUCUAUAAUCCUCAUUCUAUCCUUCUUCAUUCUCACUUCCAGACUCUAUUUUAUCUCUUUAAAAGCCACCCUCCCCUCUUACAAUUUCUAAUUUUCUAUCACCACGCUAUCUCUAAAAAAUAACCCUGACGUGCACGAUCAUAAUCGAUUUUGGUCGAUGAAGCAUAUGGUGACGAGUAGCAUCUCCUCUCCAAACUCGGUCACAAGUGCACACGAGAAACCAACCCUGAUGUGCCUGAAAAAGGAGCAUGUUCAGGUAAUGUUUUCGUCUUUAUUGCAUCUUUUUGUGCUUUGCUUUCCUCCGUAUUUCCCUUGCACUUCUUGAAAACCUAGAACCACCAUCGCCUAAUGCCACCGUCACCAACUAACCACCAUCUCAGAAGCCCCUCCCACAUCGCCUUUAAUCAACUUCAUAGAAAAAUCCCAUCACAUUCACUGCUUUUUUCUCUAAACGCUAGACAUCGUUGCCACUCCUCUUCUCUGUGAUUCCCCUAUCUCUUUCUCUCAAUCAAACAAUCUCAUCUGGUUUCAUUAUAAAGACUAUUUCAUAUUUUUGGGGUAUGUGUUGUCAAAAACAUCAACGUAUAUGUGCUAUUACAAACUUCAACGAGGUGGGAACCUAUUUUAAAACCAUCACAUCACAAACUCACCUGUAGAAACCCUAUACUUUACCACCAUCGCACCUCCUAAAAGCCUAGCCGCCGACCACCUAACGCAUCGCCUCUACAUCUCUCUAUUUGGCUUCCGAUCAGAGACACAUCACUGCCUCAUCACCAAGGUCUCUCUCUCUCUCUCUCUCUCUCUCUCUCUCUCUCUCUCUCUCUCUUAUCAUUUAUUUGUUUAGUAAGGCUUCAAGUUUUGUCAAUUUUAGUUUUUUUUUUAUUUGUGGGUAUUUUCUCAAAGAAAACCUGCAAAACGAAAGAAAUUGAAAAGAAUUGAACAAGUGUCCUGCAACAUUUGUUUGAUAACCGCAUGAUGCAAAAAGAAAGUGUGUUGCUGCUUGGCACAUUUCACCUAAAAAAUAGGUUGACUGGUGUUGAUGUCGUCCAAAGUAAUAGCAAUAUCUACUCGGAUAAAAUGUUGUCAUAAAUAGUGAAAAAGACAACAUGUUGCUGAUUUGCUGUGAAGAAAGGAUGUGGAGUAAGAGGACCGACAUUUACAUCUGAGGUUUGUAUCCUUUAACAAUUUAUGCAUUUAAAUUCUAAAAAAUUAAAAAGGGAUAAAUAUGACUUUUUUUUCUUUAAUACUUGGAUUUGUACUUCAAAUUUACUUGUGUUUUUUUUUUAAUUAUAGAAUUCUAAUUUUGUUUUUUUAUCAUGCAUUUUAUUUUAUUUUUCUUUACCAGUGGGUAGAAUCAGCCAAACCAUGGUUUGUUGGGUGCUUCUUCUCAAAUUUUUCUUCACAAGAGUGUAAGAUAGGCAAAAUAAUAUGUUUUGGCAUAAAUAAAUUUGCAAAUGCAGGUUUGAAAUCUGGUUUGAAGGUUCAAAAUAUGUUAUGGAGGUUUGGAAUCUAUAAAAACUUUGUUUAAUA